ACGUAUGUCGCAAGCGUUAUCCGGAAUUAUUGGGCGUAAAGCGAGUCUAGGCGGCUUGUUAAGUCAGAUGUGAAAAUGCGGGGCUCAACUCCGUAUUGCGUUUGAAACUGGCAGGCUAGAGUACUGGAGAGGUGGGCGGAACUACAAGUGUAGAGGUGAAAUUCGUAGAUAUUUGUAGGAAUGCCGAUAGUGAAGACAGCUCACUGGACAGAUACUGACGCUAAAGCUCGAAAGCGUGGGGAGCGAACAGG
rnacentral:rRNA from 1 species